rnacentral:misc_RNA from 1 species
AAAAAACAUAGCAGAACGGAACAUAAACCUCUUUAGUUAUAGAGGGACUUGGUAAAGCUAUCAAAGCUAGAUGAUCGAGGAACUCAUGAGAAAGACUUAAGACUUUGAUGAAGCAUUUUGAUGUGCGGAUCCAAGUUUUUGGAUCCAAUGAAGGAACCCCUUCUUGUGAUGAAACAUUGAAUUUUGUACUAGAUUCAGAGUCCCAUCAUGCGCAACUGAAGAUUCAAACUGCUCCAGUACCUUCACGAUCUG